rnacentral:tRNA from 1 species
AAGAGUGCACUACAGGUACUGCUAACACCUGAUACCAGUAAUCAAUCCACUGGCACCCUUA